GCAUUGCCUAGAAGCAGGGAGAGGAAGCAGCUGGAGUGAGAGGCAGGGGAGCGGGGAGGAGGGGCCCUCAUCUUGGACCAGGAGUACGGCCAGUGAGCAGGCCCGACUCUGGUCUCUUAGUCUGUAAAAUGGGUACAAGGGAAGCAGUGAGCAUGGAUUUGCUUGUUCCAGGACUCUGGUUAUAUUACAAGCCUUUCUAACCACAAAGAGGUGUCAGCCUGUUGCCUCACUGAUGUAAAAAAGAAGACAAAUUUGCAAGAAAAAAAAUCCAACCAGUCAUUGAGACUUACGUGGCUGAUUAUUUUAGGCAAGUCAAAGAAGAAUCUGUUUGGCUCCAUAUGUAAGCUGGGAACAAGCUGUGAGGGGAAGGGCCAUUUCAAACCAGGAGAUCAAGUGGCCACUGUGGGCUGAGGGGGCAGGGAUGGGGCACGGUGUGUGUGUGAGCAGAGGCUGCUAGUGUGGGGCAGGGGCUAUGGGUCUUCUUGGAUCUGGUAAAACUCAGCCUGCGUGCUCCCAACUCUCAAUGGCAAUUUGGGAAGUCUGGGCGGCUGUGGGGUCACCUCUCUGCUGACUUUCCUGUCCUCAUGCAGCAGCCGCAGCUCAGACUGGGCCGGUUUCCCUGCUUCCCCACCACAAAGGCCAGCCGGCAGCUGCUCUGGACAAUCUUGCACCCAGCCCUAACACCACUUCCUCGGCAAAGCCUUCUCUGGCCCGCAUGUGCCUUUUCUCUAGAGCGCUUGGCUCCUUGUCUGCCUUCUUCGCCACUCUGUUCUUGAUGUGUAGUUGGGCCCUAUAAUCCCCACGAGGCCAAGAACCGUCUACUUUUGCUUGGCACUGGUGUACGACCAGCACCUAACACAGCAGCCGACACAAUAUGUGCUGAAUAAGCAGUCAUUGGACAGCUCGCCCCUGUCCACCUUUCUGGCUGGGCUCUGGCAGCCUGAUGCCUCUCGGAAAACACAAGCAGAGAGUCCGUAACCCUGGAGAUACCUGCCUCUGGCAGUCAUUCACCAGAACUGAUGUCCCUCCCACAGCGGGGCACUAACUUUACAAAUGUGAGUGAAGAGCAGAGACGUCGUGCGGUAAGUAAAGUCUAGGAACCAUCGACAGGAAUAAUUUUUUAAAAAUUUCUAUCUACCCAUGUGAUGAAUGAAAGGCUUGGUAGCCACUGAAAAGACUAGGCGAUCCUACUACGAGUAUUAUCACUACUAUUCUACUAUUACUACUACUAACUCAUACUCGCUGAGUGUGUGUAACGCACCAGGUCCUAUUCUAAGAACUUGGUAAGUAUUGACUCCAUUUAUUCCUUACAGCAACCCCACAAAGUAGGGGACAUUAUCAUCCCCAUUUUACAGAUGAGGAAACUGAGGUUCAGAGAGGCUGCCAGUGAGCGGUAAAGUGGGGAUCUGGAUGCUGGUCGUCUAGACCUGUGGGUUAAAUUGUUAAGUGAAUAGAGCAAGUUGCAAAAAAGGAUGUACACUACAAUCCUACUAAAAGAUGCCAACACGACACGAUCCGCAGACAGACACGAACGCCUGUGUGUGGGGUGCAUGGAAGACAUUUUGGAAAGAUGAACAGUUGUGGGAGCGGAUGGGCUUGGAGAAGUGGGUGAGAGUUUUGCUUUUUACUUUAAAUACUUUUGUCCAAUUGAACAUGUUAGAGAGCAUAUGCUACUUUUUAAAAAUUUGCCACUGAUUUUAGAGAAUUAUUUCCCUCAACGAGAAAUCCUCCGACCACUAUAUAUGAUCUCCAUUAAUAAUUUAAAAUGGCUUCUCAUCUGACUUCUGGUUAUUGCAUCUCUAAUAACCAGUUGGCUAGACAAGCACAUCAAAAUGCAUUACUGUCUGCAUUACGAGUAAAAAUGUCUAGAGGUAGAGGUCUCAAAAGCCGUGUGCAAAGUAAGACAGAUAAUAAAAUCUAAGGUCCCAGUAAGGUCUCCAAAGCAUGUUUUAAUACAUGUUGAGAUAGUCACUCACCUAAAAUAAAAAAAGGAAUACUAUUUCUACCGAUCCGCCAAUAACAAGGCUAAUAAAUAAACAGUGUGUAUCAGUGCACAUUGUAGAAAAUUACAAAGCAAAAGAGGGCCGGCUUCUCAGACCAAGAGGUCCACAGAGCACUUGCGGGAUGGGCUCCCCAGAAGAGGGUGGUCUCCCCAGAGAGCUCAUUUUACCGGUGCCCAUGAGGGAGCCUGCCUGGCUUCUCUCUGUAAGCUCUUGCCCUGAGCCCCCAGGAGAGGACAGCUUCUGAGUUAAUCCACAGAGGGAAAUAAAUCAAGAAACACCACCAAUGGAGCCAGUUAGGAAUGUGGGCCGGGAGUGCAGUUGCCAUGACGACUGUGAACUGAAAAAAGUCUAGGGAAAAAAGUGUGAAUUGGGGAAGAAGAGUUUGACAACAUGUUUCAAACAGGAAGGAGAGGGAACCCUGGUACACAGUGAUGCAUCUUGAUUUCGUGAGCAGAGAAAGAUAGCUCUUGAGCAGAGAAGGGACCACUCGAGUUGCCACAGUUAAUGAGAAAUAGCUCUUACAAAAUCCUGAACCCUGUACUUGAUUCCGUUCUCACCAGGCAAUUCUACCAGGCUGGCAUUUGGGCCUUCAUUUCAAAGAGAGAGCGCCUGGAACAGUGAAGAUGCUCAGUAAAUAAAGGAUCUAUAUUUGUUCUUGAGUCAUGAAUAUUCUCCUUUAUAAAAUAAUAGAGUUGUGGGUUAUUAAUUAAUCUCCUGUGCAUUUAGUUAGUUCGAAUCAACCCUCAGGGCCUGACAGUCUAAGGGGAUUAAACAGUUAAGGAGGGGUUUUAUAAAUCUGCUGAGGGACUUUAAAUUCUGUGACUACACCCCACCUACUUAUAGCCAAGCAAAGGGGCCUUGACUGAAAUGGUUAAGAGCUUUGUCCUUCCCUUGAAAAAGUGUUUGCCUUACAGCUUUUCUUGUGAACUAUGAAAGUAGUAUUGUCACUGAGUAAAAUCUGGAAAAAAAAAAUUUUAAACGUUAUAUAAGAAAAUAAAAAUCUCCCAGAAACCCCAUUAUGAGCUUUCUUAAAAUACUGAAGAGUAAUUUGUUUGUGUUUACAUAUGUGAGCGUGUAUAUACAUCGAUAUUUAACAAAAUUUCAAUAGUAUUAUCUGUAUUGCUUUCCUCUCUUAAGAUAUCAGAAAUCUAAAAAACCAUUUCCUUCAAUAUUUUCAGUAACAUAAUUUUUCAAUGGCUACAUAAAGUGGCCAUGGACAUGCCAUCAAUCAUUUAGUCUUCGGUUCUUGUUAGUUAUUUUAAAUUGUUUACAAAUUUUCACUAUCACAGACAAUUUUUAAACAACCAACCUUAUACGUAAUACUUUUGUGAACUUAUCUCUGGUGAUCUCCUUAGGAUAAAAUCCUAGAAGUAGAACUACUCAGUUCGAGGGUAUAAAUAUUUUAAAAGGCUUUCGCUCCGCAGUGGCAAAGCAGUCUCAAGAAAAGCUGAACCUCCGGCACCCAUCGUGUGAAGGCUAUAUCCUUGCCAUCGCCAAUGCUGUUAUCAUUAGGAGCAGUUCUUUGCCAGCGUGAGAGAUGAAAAGCUGUACUCUGUUCUUUUAUUUUACAUUUCAUUGAUUACUGGUAAAGCCGAACACUUUGUUUUAAUGUUUGUCGGCAUUCAUAUUUUUUAUGUUGUCAGUUUUCCUUCAUGUCCUUUUUUCUUUUGGUGUAUAUCUAUCAUUUUCUUUUUGCUCUGAAAAAGUAUAUUAUAGGUUAUUUGUUGCAAAAAUCCCCAAUUUGUAGAUCGGUAUAUAUAUAUAUUGUGCGCGUGUUUAACAUAAAUUUUAUCCAUUUCUUUUCUAUACCAGUCAGUGAGGGAUUUUUCUUCUCUGCCAUUCUUUUCUGAGUUAACAAAGGAAUAGAAAAAGCAUCUGUGAAAGCACGUGGAAACAAAUUUCUCCACGGAAUACUUAAGUUGAUUACAUCUAGUACCUCUGGAGGAGAAUGAUGUCUUAAUACUCCUUCCUUACAUAACUUUGUGUUUUUUGGAACUCUUUUACUUAUUUAUUCAUUGUGACAAUCAUGUAAGGCAGCUCGACUAAGCAAGCAAAACAGCUAUUAGCCCAUUUUAAAGAUGGAGAAACAAUGACAGAGAUAUUAAAUGUCUAGCACUAGGUUAUGUGACAAUUCAGAGGGGAAGUUGGGACAAGGACCCCUGUCUUUUGACCCUCUGCCACAGUGUAAUUCCAUGAUAGCACUGGGCAACAUAUCAGGUCUUUUCAAUUUGUCCCAGAAAUAAAUGCAAACGAUGCAGUACUGUUAAAACCUCCUGACUUUUAAUAUGUAGCAGAAUUUCCCUGUCACUGGCCUAGAUGUUAUACGAGUUCCUGAACUGCAGCUAGCUUGGAAGUUAAUACUUUGUUAACUUUUCUUUGGUGUACUGGACGACUAAAAUUUUGGACUAUUCCUUGAGGGCUGGGAGAAUUAUAAAACCGGCAUUUCCUCUCCUGCAGAACAUCUAGGCUUUUGUUUGUUAAAUACUCAGCAUUUGACAAAUUGGGAAGUCUAUUGGUCCCAAGGAGAUGGUGUUGACCAGAACAGGGAAGGAAUUCACAGUCUUGUAAGUGGAAACACACGCCAAAUCCUGGGUGCGAGGGGGAAGAUUCCUGUAGAAUGACACCAACCGUAGGGCAGACAUUUGUGUGCUGCCGGCUCGGGGGAUUUCUCCCUAAAAGGAAAUCUUUAGCUGAUCUCCUCUGUUCAGCCCCUGUAGGCCAGAAAGGAAAACGUGUGCCCUCCACAGCAUCCGAAUUCUCUCUGGGAUGACUCAGAGAACCCAAACGCCACUGAACGUUUACUCAUGUCGUCAGUAGGAGGUGGUGGCAUGCAGGGGUCCAGCGAGGGUUGCUCAUCGGCGUGACAGCUCGGCAGAUCAGGCUCUGCAAUGUGCUCCAGAUACUUGUCAUGCUCUUUGAGAGAAGAGGCUGCCUGCUGCCCUCUGCCAAGGAUGUGAGUCCUUAGGCUCAAGCUUUUGUGGUAACAGGAGAGAGAACUAUAGGAAUGGAGGUGGAUUCAAAUCCUAAACCUUGUAAACAGGAAGCUUUGGUGAACAAAACAAACUUAUCUCCC